GGUCAAAUUUUAUCUGCUGUGGUACAUUUUCUCUUAUGUUGUGGUUGAACCAUAUAUUUUGAUUUAUUUUUUACUUUUAUUUAUUGGAUUGUAUUGCACAGGCUUUAGAUGGGAAUAAUGGAAUAUAUCCUUUAGCAUAUGCUGUGGUUGAAGCUGAGACACUGAACUCUUGGACAUGGUUUUUAACUCACUUGGGUGAUGACCUAGGGUUGGCUUCAAAUUCAAAUUUUACAUUUAUAUCAGACAGGCAAAAGGGUUUAAGUUCUGCCAUCGCAGAUUUGUUUCCUUGUGCAGAGCACCGUUAUUGUGUUCGCCACAUACACGAAAAUAUGAGGUCACGUUGGAGAGGGGAUAAGUUUAAAGAACUGCUUUGGAAUUGUUCAACAACAUAUACUGUGCAAGAGUUUGAAAAAGAAAUGGAAGAAGUUAGAAAAUUAAACCAAGAAUGUUAUGAGUGGCUUAAACAAAUACCACCUCAACAUUGGGCACGUUCUCAUUUUACAGGGAGAGCACAUUCUGAUAUUGUGAUAAACAACAUAUGCGAGUGCUUUAAUAGCAAAAUAAUAGACGGACGUGACACACCAAUUAUCAAUUGCUUAGAGUUCAUCCGGGAGUACAUCAUGAAGAGGAUUGUGAAUGUUGAAAAAGAAAUUGACAAAGCAACAGGCCCUUUGACUCCAACA